AGUGAACGCUGGCGGUAGGCCUAACACAUGCAAGUCGAACGAGUGGCGGACGGGUGAGGAAUACAUCGGAAUCUACUCUGUCGUGGGGGAUAACGUAGGGAAACUUACGCUAAUACCGCAUACUAUCAGAUGAGCCUAGGUCGGAUUGGCUAGUUGGUGGGGUAAAGGCCUAACAAGGCGACGAUCCGUAACUGGUCUGAGAGGAUGAACAGGCACACGGGAACUGGAACACGGUCCAGAGUCGUACGGGAGGGAGCAGUGGGGAAUAUGGGACAAUGGGCGAAAGCCUGAUCCAGCAAUGCCGCGUGUGUGAAGAAGGCCUUCGGGUUGUAAAGCCCUUUUGUUGGGAAAGCGGUACCCAAAGAAAAAGCACCGGGUAACUUCGUGCCAGCAGCCGCGGUAAUAC
rnacentral:rRNA from 1 species